GGUCCUAGCCAGCCACCAGUGCUUGCCUGUUGAGACGGCCACAAAGGCACGUUCUCUUGUCAGUCUGGCAAGCGACGCCGCCCCAGCUCCUCUUCCUGCCAGACGACAGAAGAAUGGCUAGUACCUCCUGAUCGAGAUGCGACCAAGCUCUCGGGUGAGGAAGGCCAGUCCCCUGCAUCCCGACUGCACCAGCCCAGAUGCCGGGCCCCAGAGGACAGCACCACCAAGAUCCCAUCAAGCCUGUACCCGCAGCAUCAGGAACUUUUGAAUGAAAAUGUGUUUGGGCUGCUGGAGUCAUAUUUCUUCACCUGGUCAACUAAGUAUCCAGUGCUACAGUAGUUUGAGAGGUGUUAUAUAUAAAGAAUAGCCCAGCCUAAUUCUAA